rnacentral:rRNA from 1 species
UCCGCAGGGGGCACAUCAAGUCUGCUGUUAAAGGCUGGAGCUUAACUCCGGUAGAGCAGUGGAAACUGGUGUGCUAGAGGGCGACAGGGGUAGAGGGAAUUCCCAGUGUAGCGGUGAAAUGCGUAGAGAUUGGGAAGAACACCGGUGGCGAAAGCGCUCUACUGGGUCGCACCUGACCCUCAGGGACGAAAGCUAAGGUAGCGAAAGGGAUUAGAUACCCCUGUAGUCUUAGCCGUAAACGAUGGAUACUAGGCGUGGUUUGUAUCGACCCAAGCCGUGCCGAAGCUAACGCGUUAAGUAUCCCGCCUGGGGAGUACGCACGCAAGUGUGAAACUCAAAGGAAUUGACGGGGGCCCGCACAAGCGGUGGAGGAUGUGGUUUAAUUCGAUGCAACGCGAAGAACCUUACCAGGGCUUGACAUCCCGCGAAUCCCCAUGAAAGUGGGGAGUGCCUUCGGGAGCGCGGAGACAGGUGGUGCAUGGCUGUCGUCAGCUCGUGUCGUGAGAUGUUGGGUUAAGUCCCGCAACGAGCGCAACCCUCGUCCUUAGUUGCCAGCAUUAAGUUGGGCACUCUAGGGAGACUGCCGGUGACAAACCGGAGGAAGGUGAGGAUGACGUCAAGUCAGCAUGCCCCUUAUGCUCUGGGCAACACACGUCCUACAAUGGUCGGGACAAAGGGGAGCGAGCUCGCGAGAGUCAGCGAAUCCCAGCAAACUCGGCCUCAGUUCAGAUGGCAGGCUGCAACUCGCCUGCCUGAAGGAGGA